ensembl:lncRNA
GCCGAGGUGGCAGUCUGGGGGAUGUGAGACGCUCUCACGUCUAUACGCCCUCAAAGGAAACAAACCUUCUGUCCAGUGGCACUCACUGCGUCAUCCACAGGGAUGUGUGUAUUGUGUGUGUGUGUGUGUGUGUAUGUGUGUGUGUCUGAUUGGUCGGCAAUUACAUUCGUUUUGUGGGAACUUUGCUUAGAGCUUAGCAUAGACCACCCCUCAAACACACACACACACACACACACACACACACACACGCACACACACACACACACACACACACACACACACACACACACACACACACACACACACACACACACACACACACAGCUUGUGUUACACAUUAAACCCCUCCUCCCAUCCCAUCGCAGCUGUCUAUAAUAAUUUUGAUCCUGUCAAAAAAUUAAUUUGGACUGCUUUUUUUGUUGGGUUUUUAGCUGUGGAGGUCAAAGUUAAGUUAGAGUCAACAUGUGACAUCUUGAAUUGACAUCACGUCACAUGCAUAUAAACAUGUAGCAGUGAACCUUCUCUCCUUUGGGUUUCCUGUCGUGAUGUCACCGAGCAGCUAUGCAGUCAGGGCUACUUACUCAGUGGCGGUGGGUGACGUCUAUCAGCCCAGCAGACGGACGGACGGAUCCAGAGGUGAGGUCAGGCGGACUAGUUUAGGUUCGGCCGUGGAGACCAGAAAACCAUACCUACUGAACGCGAUCAGCGAUUUUCACCAGCAGUCCUUCAACGAAUUACCAUCCAAAGGUCCGUUUAUACAUAAAGUGACGUUUAACAAAACUUACCUCCGCAGUGGAGAGCGCCAGGGAGAGGAGCACGAGAGCAGCGGCGCUCCGGAACAUCUGGACGAGGGAGAGGGUUCGGUCAGAGACACCAAAGUUCAUUACGUUCAACUGCGUGGAAAACCAACAUUUAAGAUAACCCAGGAACAUGGCCAAACAAAGCGUGAGGUAUCCCCCGGACCCGGCGCUGGUUCCUUACCAUGUUGAUAGCGGUAAGAGGGUGGUGUUCCUGAGCGGAGGAGAGGUGGUGUCGGUGUGGUGGAGGUCUGAGGCGCUGAGGAAUGCCUGCUCUUCGCUUCUCCCCCUCCGACGUGACGUGGCCAAUGAGAAGGUCUGUAGCGGGAGGGACGGCUCCACCUCGAGUAGGAGGAACCGGAGGAGGAACCGGAGGUGAAUGGAGGAAGAGAUGACCUGCAUCAUGGACCCCGUCUAGAGCCCCCACAAAACAGAACAGGGAGAUGGAGCAGGGGUGAUGGGGACGAUGGGGCUCGGUGUUGGGGCGGGGGUGGUAGUGAUGCCUCACAUUCACCCAUUAAUGCAGACUUUCACCCACCGACGGUGGUGUGACCCAUGCAAGGGGACCGCCAGCUCGUCGGGAGCAGUUAGGGUGAGGCGUCUCGCUCAGGGACACCUCCACACUUGAACCAGCAACCUUCCGGUUACCAGCCGACCUGCUCCACCUCCUCCAAUCACCCAGUUCACAGCCAGGCAGGGUGGACAGAACCCUGUUGAGUUGUUCAUGCUGACGGCUCUGCCUGCUGGCUGGGCUGGGAGGGGGAGGGGCCGGAUUCUACACAUCGAGACUUUAAUGAAUCUGCUUGAAAUGCAAAUCGUGUUUUACAGCACCACUGAAUUUUCAUUUGUCUUCUGUUUGCUAGAGCUUUGGGUGCGGGCACCUUACACACGCACACACACACACACGCACGCACGCACGCACGCACGCACGCACGCACACAUACACACACACACACACACACACACAAAUUGGCAGUGUGUGAAUGGAAAUUGAAUCAACAAUGUAAUCAAUUCAUUAGACAUUGUUGCAGCCAAUCAGCUCGCUUCAUGAUCAUCUUUUUUUAAAGGCACAGGAGACAGAAGCCCUCGUCCACGAGCUGCGUAUCAUCUCCUCUGCCCUGGUCCUAGCGGGGUCUCAGGUGUGAGGGUCACCUGACAGGGGUUCAGCUGUUCAUCUGAUCACAUGAUGAACAAACACUGGUCUCUCGUCAUGAGGAGAGGAGACGAGGAGAUGAGACGAGGAGAGGCGAUGAGGAGAGGAGAUAAGGACAGACCAGAUCCUCUCAGAAGACAACCCACGUGCAAACAGGCACUACGUUUGAAUUGGCAUUCUCAUGUGUUCAUGGAGCAGGUGCCUCAUCCGUGUACCAACACGGGCCAUCUGCAGGCCCCAGAGUGGAGCUAUGAUGAGCUGCAGUAUGGGGGGUUUCUGGCAGUUUCCCCCUCAGAUGAGCCUGGUUUUCUGGGUUUUCUGGGAGGCUGAGAGGCCCUGAGAGCAGAGCCUGAAGAGACGCCCACGGGCAGGAGUCUGGACGGAGGAGCGUGGAGAUAAGAACGCAGACUCAUGCGGAGACUGCAGGGGGCCGGGAUCCUAGCAGGGAGGAGAACGCGUGGGUGCUCUCUGCAGACCCACUCGCUCCCCCGAAGGGCCCAGCCCACAUAAACACUGUUUCCUCCUACAUUAGUACCUCCUGAGUCAUCAGAAAACAGAGAACAUUGAAUCAUGACGGCACGACGCAGAACCCUAGAGGCGGCCAUUAGUGAGGACAUUCGCUCAUUAACCUGGUAUUUGGAAAACUUCCCCGCAGACGCUUGCACACAAUGUUGUGUUGUUCUGUUGUUAAGAGGGGAUUAAAAAAGGCCAUUACAGCACCCCCUGCUGGCCCAAGAGGCUGCAUUUUCCCCUUUCCUCGACUGCCUGCCCUACCGUCCUAAUCAGAACGGAGUGCGUGAGCGUGAGUUGAUAUGAGGACAUGUCUGUCUCUGGUUUCCUGCUGUUUAUGUCUUGAUGUCUCGCGUGAUGAAUUCACAUCUUUAGUUAAUUGGAGGAUAUUUCAGUAAUUAUUUUAUCCAAGGGACUUGUGGCCGGGAAAACUCUACAUUACCCCGAUUGAAUGUUGAUCUGAAAGGCUUUAUGUUUAG